rnacentral:rRNA from 1 species
AACGAACGCUGGCGGCGUGCUUAACACAUGCAAGUCGAACGAGAAGUACGUAGCAAUACGUAUUGUAAAGUGGCGCACGGGUGAGUAACACGUGGGUAAUCUGCCCUCGAGUUUGGGAUAACCCCGCGAAAGCGGGGCUAAUACCGGAUAAGACCACGGGGACCAAAGUCCCUGAGGUAAAAGAUGGCCUCUAUUUAUAAGCUAUCACUUGAGGAUGAGCCCGCGGCCCAUUAGCUAGUUGGUAGGGUAACGGCCUACCAAGGCGAUGAUGGGUAGCUGGGCUGAGAGGACGAUCAGCCACACUGGAACUGAGACACGGUCCAGACUCCUACGGGAGGCAGCAGUGGGGAAUAUUGCGCAAUGGGCGAAAGCCGGACGCAGCCACGCCGCGUGGGGGAUGAAGGUUUUCGGAUUGUAAACCCCUUUCGAUCGGAACGAAUCUCCUCCUGGUAAAUAAUCAGGAGGAUCGACGGUACCGAGAGAAGAAGCCACGGCUAACUCUGUGCCAGCCGCCGCAGUAAGAC